UUGGAGGGCAAGUCUGGUGCCAGCAGCCGCGGUAACUCCAGCUCCAAUAGCGUAUAUUAAAGUUGUUGCAGUUAAAAAGCUCGUAGUUGAAUUUCGGGAUCAAUAUGCUGGUCGUGUCAUUGGUACGUACUAGUAUUAUUGGUUUCUUCCUUCUGAUGAAUCAUGAUGUCAUUAAGUUAAUGUCAUGAGGAAUCAGGACUGUUACUUUGAAAAAAUUAGAGUGUUUAAAGCAGGC
rnacentral:rRNA from 1 species